UACGUAGGUGACCAGCGUUGUCCGGAUUUACUGGGCGUAAAGAGCGCGCAGGCGGUCGUUCAAGUCGAGUGUGAAAGCCCCCGGCUCAACUGGGGAGGGUCAUUCGAUACUGAUCGACUUGAAGGCAGGAGAGGGAAGUGGAAUUCCCGGUGUAGUGGUGAAAUGCGUAGAUAUCGGGAGGAACACCAGUGGCGAAGGCGACUUCCUGGCCUGUUCUUGACGCUGAGGCGCGAAAGCUAGGGGAGCAGACGGGG
rnacentral:rRNA from 1 species